AUUGAACGCUGGCGGCAUGCCUUACACAUGCAAGUCGAACGGUAACGGGCCUUCGGGUGCCGACGAGUGGCGAACGGGUGAGUAAUGUAUCGGAACGUACCUUUCAGUGGGGGAUAACGUAGGGAAAGUUACGCUAAUACCGCAUAUUCUGUGAGCAGGAAAGCAGGGGAUCGCAAGACCUUGCGCUGAUUGAGCGGCCGAUAUCAGAUUAGCUAGUUGGUGGGGUAAAGGCUCACCAAGGCGACGAUCUGUAGCGGGUCUGAGAGGAUGAUCCGCCACACUGGAACUGAGACACGGUCCAGACUCCUACGGGAGGCAGCAGUGGGGAAUUUUGGACAAUGGGGGCAACCCUGAUCCAGCCAUGCCGCGUGAGUGAAGAAGGCCUUCGGGUUGUAAAGCUCUUUCGGCCGGGAAGAAAUCGUAUCAGCUAAUACCUGGUGCGGAUGACGGUACCGGCAUAAGAAGCACCGGCUAACUACGUGCCAGCCGCCGCAGUAAAAC
rnacentral:rRNA from 1 species